CCGGAGUACUCGAGUGGCGAACGGGUGAGUAACACGUGGGUAAUCUGCCCUGCACUCCGGGAUAAGCCUGGGAAACUGGGUCUAAUACUGGAUAUGACCUUUCUCCUUAUGGGGUUUGGUGGAAAGUUUUUCGGUGUAGGAUGAGCCCGCGGCCUAUCAGCUUGUUGGUGGGGUGAUGGCCUACCAAGGCGACGACGGGUAGCCGGCCUGAGAGGGUGAUCGGCCACAUUGGGACUGAGAUACGGCCCAG
rnacentral:rRNA from 1 species